UUAAGAACUUAUUUAUUUUUUGAAUUGAGAGUAUAAAAUGCAAUCUAACCAAAACAUAUAGGCUUCCCAAAUACAUUUGUAAUAGGCCAAUUUUGGGCCUCACCUAACCUAUAAAAAUAUGAACAAAAUAAACAAAAGCCCAAGACUCGUUAACUGUCCAUUUACACAGCCAAAUCAAAAAAUAUAAACUACAAGCCCAAUAUUUGGAUGGCCCAAUAAGCCAAAACCUAAGGGUCCAAAAGGCCCAAACCCUAGGGUUUCUGAGCCUUCUUUGCACCGCGCCGCUUCCCCCACGUGUCUUGAGCGCACCACUCGCGUCUGGUCCCGAGACCUGACCACCCAAGACGCCUCUGCCACCGUUUUGCACCAAAAUGGCCGGUUUUUGCCUUCGUUGACCUCGCGCAUUUGCAAACAAACCAAAGAAAACAACAGAAGCGGCGACAACAGAGAAAGGGAAGCGUUUUCUUUCCUAUUGUAAUUGGUUAUAAAACCGAAACAAAAAUCAGUUUGUAAGGGAGAUACAGACGGUUAAGCAAAUCAAAAAAACAAAAGGUUGAGUUUCAUUCUCUUUUUUCUAUUUUUUUCUUUAUUUUUUUAUUUUCUUUUCUUCUAAAAUCAUUUUUAAAACAAAAAAUAAAAAGGAAGAAAAGAGGGGACUUACCCGAACCUCGGAACCGCGACAUCAGAGCCCUACUCUAUUGUUGAAAUCGACUUUCAAGAGGGAAAACGGAGGUUCUUUUCUUUUAUGUUUUUGGACCAAGAAAACACGGCCUUCGGGAGCUGUAAAUCAGAGCCAAAAGCCCCAUUUCACACCACCUCAACCACCGUUCACGGUGGCGCCGACGUGGCGGUGAUGAUGGGUUUCUUUGAAACCCUAACAGAGCACAAACAGAGGGGAAGGAGAGAGCAAGCUCUCUGAUUUGUUUUUUUUUUUAAAAUAAGGCUAAAAUGAAUUAAAAAAAAGUUUUGGCUUAUUUAUACCCAGGCGCGCCCGACCCGUAUCCAAAGAAGGAUCCGCGCACUUCCCAUCAUUGGGAUAUUUAUCCAAGGAAGGAUCCGCGCACUUCCCAUUAUUGGGAUAUUUACGCGUUGGGUCAUCCGCCUUUGUAGCGCGUUUUAUUGUGGUCCUUUCCUUUUUUUUUUAAUUUCUGCCAUAGAAUUGCGUUUUAUUAGAUCAAUUCGCCUACUUUACUUUAAAUUGUUUUGUAUAUUGAUUGUUUCAAAUCGCUCUAUACUACUCAUUUAAAAUCGUUUUUUAUGACAUCUUCCUUCAAACUUGUUUUUAUAUAUUAUUUAUUUGAAAUCAUCUCAUCAUUUAUUUUAAAAGGUUUCAUGUAGUUUAUUUCAUUCCUUUGAUUAUUAAUGUUGGUAUUUAAGUGACAUGUGUUAUGCUUCGUUCAUUUAUAUUUUCACAUAACUACCAUUCACUUGUAUAAUAUUGUAUUCGUAUUGUAUUAUUCUAUGCUCUAUGGUAUAUCUUGGUUUUACCUAAUUUAAAUCACAUCGUAUAUUAAACUCCAAUACAUUUAUCCAAUAAAUCAUUUUAUUUUAACCUAACAAUUACACGUUGUUUAAAUAUCGUACUCGUUACUAUCCAAAAACGAAUUUCCCAAAUUUUACAUUUUGGAACAUCGAGGAACUGUGCCCUAACUUACGGGGUUUCGAUUUUCUCAUUGUUUCUAAAUAACAAACAUACUUUUCGAGUUUUAAAACACAUGGAUUUCUAAUUAAAAUUAAAGACAAACUUGCGCUCGGGAGUUCAUAGUAUUAUAUUCUAACUUACGGGAUGUGAUACUUCGAUACCUCGAGACAAGGAAAUCCUUAACAAUCACUUUGCUAAUUCAAGCACUUUUAAAAUCAACGUUAAUAAAAAAGGGGGAUUGUAUUUUAAAAUCCAUUCCUGAUUUUCAACUUUCGACAUCAAGACACCAAUUAAUCAAUUUGGUACAAAUUUUUGGGCGUGUCGAGGGUGCUAAUCCUUCCUCGCACGUAACCGACUUUCGAACUUGUUCUCUCAAGUUUCGUAGACCAAAAACACCGUUUUCAUAAACUAAAACAUUUUAUUAAAAAAAAGGCGGUCCGAUCUCACCUAAUAAAGAUCGGUGGCGACUCUCGUUUUAAUUUUCAUUGUCAAACAAAGUCGAUCCCGCAUUUUUUCAAAAAUGGUUUCGACAGCUUAGCGACUCCACUGGGGAAUUUGAGAGUCGAGCCAUAAAUUGAUUAAUUCUUGUCCUUUGUCAAAAAUUCAAAAUUCGUUUUAAACACGAUCCCUUCAUUGCAUUUCAUCCAUUUUCGUACGGUUUUUUAUCAUUUUAUUCCCACUUUCUUUAUUACUUCGAGUCUUUAUGCAUAUAUCCUCGCACAUUGCAUUGCAUGACCGCUGUGGUCACACCUUUAAGUGAAAGUGAGAAACUACUCCUUCGUGAGGUCUUCACCUCCGCAUAGGAUAAUGGAUCACUUUCGGGAUACAUCCGUACCUGUGUCUUCGUGAGAUUUUCAUCUCCGUAUAGCCGUAGGGAAAUGUAUUCCCCUGAAUCGAAUUCGGUCCAUAUAAGCCUAUAAUGGGUAAGGAUCGAGAAAUCUGUCGGUUCAGGUACCUUACUUUAGAACCAAACCACAUGUAAUGCGCCCUAAGAGCCUACCCUAGGUAGAACCACUCCAAACCCUAGUGGUUACCCAAAUAGGUGCUUAAUUAUUUCAUGUUUACUUUGAGUUCUAUUCUUUGUUUUAAUACUGACUUGUUGUGUUUUGUUGUUAUUGAAUGACAUCUCAUCAUAAAAGGGUGUUGAUUCACGUUCGGUUACUAGAUAGGAGAGUUUAACAUGGAAAAAGGAUUUCUUGAUAGAGUGGAGGAUAAUGCGGCCGUCUGAGUGUGGUCCGAAAGAAUGCAACAAGAGAAGGGAGAUAGUUUGGCCGAGGGAUAUGAAUCAGAGUUGUGGGAUUUCAUUCGCAUCAGUGUGACUCAGAACAACCUGCAAGAAUUAAGGGAUAUAUGGAAUAGUUGGAAUAGCGAGGUCAAUCAGCUUUUUUACUGUAACUACAGUGACCUACCCUAUUUGCUCGAUGUAAAGGUAGACAAAUACUUGUUCCGGGUCCUCGCACAGUUUUGGAACCCUGCUUACAGUUGCUUCACCUUUGGAGGAGUCGAUUUGGUACCUACUGUGGAGGAAUACAUGGCGUUACUUAAUUGCCCGAAGGUUCAGGCCGACAGAGCUUAUUCAAGACCUGUUAAUGUCCCGACCUUUUUGACGAAAUUGAUGAAGACCACGGGGAUGAGCGAACAAUGGGUUGCAGCUCGGAUCAAGCAGAAAGGGGAUAGUAAAUGUAUUCCUUGAAGGAAUUUGAGGGACUUAAUUUUAGCACAUCUAGACAUGAAAAAGAGGGUUGACGUUUUCGUCUUAAGCCUCUACGAUUUGAUUAUCUUUCUUAAGGCAUUAGGACAUGUAGAUGAAGUCGUCUCGGAUUUAUUCGAUCACCUCGAUAAAGGUACCACACCCGUCCCAGCAAUCUUAGCAGAAACUUUCAGAUCCUUGAAUACAUGUCGGAGAGCGGGCGAAGGAAGAUUUAUUGGUUGUGCACAGCUUCUAUUGGCUUGGUUCCAUAGCCAUUUUUGGAAGGUAGAAAAGGUUUCCUAUCGGGUCUUCUCCAAGGACUAUUCUCCACUAAGAGAAUUGGUGGCUACAUCGAGGCGAGACGACAUUUCAGAAGAGAAAUGGAUAAUUAUCCUCCAGAAUUUGCGAGCCGAUGAUGUUAAAUGAAGGGCUCUGUGGUUGAUCCCUGACGAGAUCUUAUAUCGGUGCAGUGAUUUUGAUUGGGUCCUUUUGGCUGGAAUAUGGGGAGUCGUUGGAUACGCUCCACUAAUGGUGUUAAGGCAGUAUCGAUCAAGGCAGUUGAUACCAGUAACGCAAGGGUUGGCACAAUGUGAGUUCCCCUUUAAAGAUAACAAUUAUAAGAGAAGGUUUCGCGAGAUAUCGAUGCUUGGAACCAAACUCGAAGAAUGAAAGGAUUCACCAUGGGUCCAAUGACAACCCCCGAGUAUGAAUGGUGGUGGGUAAAAGGGUCAACGACAACAUUCCAAUGCCAAGUUAGGAAAAUGCCCGACCGAUAGAAGAAUAUUUUCAAGUGGUCCCAUCCGAGUUAGAAAUUACCAAGCAAGACUUUGAGAAAAGAAGCUCGAAAUUGGGAAAAAAGAUAGAGCAGUUAGAGGAGGAAAAGAUGCGGCUAGUAUUGGAUGUCGAUAUCCAUAAGCUAGAGGCUGAGAAGUUAAGGAAAGGGAAGAAUAAAGCUGAAGAGGACUUGGAUAGUCUAAAGAUCGAUUAUAAGAAGCUGCUUGUGUCAAUAAGAACUGCCGGUUUGGGUAAGCCGUCGGAUCAGUGGCGUCAAGAAAUUGAAAAAGAAAAGGCCAAAGCUGAUCACUGGGAGAAGAAGUUCCAAGAUGUUCGAGUGCGGGAAGAUGUUUUGAAAAAGAGUUUGUCAGAAAGCCAGAGCGAAAAAGAGAAACUACAAGCUCGGAUAGUUGAAUUGGAAAAAUUGCUACAUUUACAUUGUAGCCGUAACUCGGUAACUGUAACACCUCCUAACCCCAAACCGUUACCGAAACGAGGUUAUGAGGCAUUACCGAACAUAUCAGACAACUUACUAAUAAUUUACAAUUAAUAUAACUUUUAUGGUAUAAUAUAAUAAUUGAGUCCCUAUCUUGAACUCUCAAAGUUCAAGCACGUGUUAAAAGUAGAACGGAACUUGUUCGAAUAUUCUGAAUUUUUUUUUUUAUAAAAAUUUCGGUCUGCUUAUUUUUACCUAAAACCUUCUGCAAAUUCAAACUAAAACAACCAGCACCAAUUUUUCACAUUCAUAUAACUAAUAUUUAUAUCAUUAACAUAAUUUCAACUUAAUAACUAUUAUAGCAUCAUUCAAAAUUGAUUAAAAAAUUCAUUCAUUUAACAACUUAAUGUUCAUGUAUCAAAAUAUCAUAUACUUUUCUUACCAUUUCAUUUAACCAUCUAAAUCUUAUAAUUCAACCUUCACUACCCAAAGUAAUAUGCAUAUUCAAGUGACUAUAUAACACCUAUGUACAUGCCACCUUUACCCAAAAGAAAAAUAUACAUCACCAAAUUUGUGUUGGAGUCGGGAAUGUUCUGGAUGCUGAACCGGGACACUUGACUUCUACUAACCUGCGCACGGAAACAACCGUACGCUGAGUAUGGAUAUACUCAGUGAUAUUACCAUAAUUCAAAUUAUAUCAACAAUAGUAAAAACAUAAAUAUUAAAAUACCUAACAAUUAAUGUCAUAUGUACUAAUUCAUAAAUCAAUUUAUUUUCUCAAACUUAAAUUUAUAUCACUUAUGAAUAUACAUUUCAUACUUUUCUCUUAUUAUCACAAUUCCAAUUUCAAUUCGUAAUUCAAUUUAUUUUUCUCGUUUCAAUGCCUCAAAUUCACAUUUCAAUUUUUCACCCUAUUAACGUAACUCGGACUUUGGCGAAUACACGGAUCCAACCAAACACACCAAUAUGGCACCCAGUGCCUCAUCGGAUAGUUCGAAGUAAUAGUUGACACCCAGUGUCUCAUCGGCCUAGCCGAAGUAAAGUUGGUACCCAGUACCUCAUCGAAUCUAUCCGAAGAAAUAUAGUGACACCCAGUGUCUCAUCGACUCGAGGUCGAAGUAUCCCUGAACACUUCCAAUCCUAUGGCAUGCCAACUAUAUCCGACUCAGCCCGACUAGUUAAUAGGGUAUUCAAUUCACUUUCUCAAUCCUAUAUCACUUUCAAUUCACAAUUCAAAUCACCAAUCAUUUUUCAAUCAAUACGCUUUUCAAAUAAUUACAUCUUCCAUAAUUCACUUAUUCAAUUCAAUUUGAUUCAAUUUGCAUCACUUUCAUUUUCACUCAAUAUUCAUAUCAAUUUCACAUACUUACCUCAAGUCUUACUUACCAUACAUAACAAUAAAAAAAAUUCAGCAAUCAAUAAUAAUUAAAAUUCGAAUUAUAGUAAUACACACCGUAAUUCUCCCGUUUUAGUACUCGAUGAAUUUCUCCUUUCCUUUCGAUGCUGAUGCUUCAGGUUCUUUGUUGGCUACGAAAAUAAUAAUUUAUAAUCAUCAAUACAACAUGAUUCAAUUUAAUUCAUGAGCCUAAACAUGCAAAUUUAACCAUUUUUAAUGUAUAUAUAUAAUUUCACCAUUAAGCUGUCUACUUGAGUCAUUGUUACUAAAUUAUUUAUAUCUUGAGCUACGAAACUCCAAAUUAAUAUCCGUAAAUUUUCCUUAAAACUAGACUCAUAUAUCUUCUAAUCAUAAAAUUUCCAGAAUUUUUGGUCUAGCCAUUUAAUACAGUUUAUUCGUUAAAUACUCCCUUGUUAUUUUAUUUGACAGUUCUGACCUCUCUCUACUAAAACUAAAUUAUCUCAUUGUACAGAACUCGAAUAAGGUUCUUGUUUAUUUAUUUUGAACCUAAUUUCAUUAAGGAGUUCACAUAUAUAAAUUACACUCCAUAAUAAUUUUUGUACAAUUUUUAAUGAUUUUCCAAAGUUAAAACAGGGCAUCUCGAAAUCACCCCUAACCAGUAUUACAAAAUUUCAAAUAUCUCUUGAUUCAUCAAUUAAUUGCUUACACUGUUUCUACUAUAAGAAACUAGACUCAAUGAGCUUUAAUUCCAUAUUUUUUUCAUCCUCUAGUUCAAUUUAUAAAAUUUUUAGUGAAUUUUCAAAGUCAGACCAUUGCUACUUCCCAAAACUAUUUUGAUGAAAAAUGUUAAUAACCAAAUUUAUAACACCAAUUCACACCUUAUUCCUAUUCAAAUUUCAUUUAAACUCAAAUCUAACUAUUAAAUUUUCAACAUAUUUUCUUAAUUCCGAAUUUUCCUCAAUCUAGUCCCUAAAACACAAAACUUAUAGCUUACUUUGCAAUUCAAUCCUUAUAUCUAUUCUAACUUGAAUUUCGUUCAAUUAAACCCCUAUUUCAUCAUUUUAUUCAACAUGAACUUUGUUUAAAAACCUAAGAACUUCCAAACUAACAAGUUAAUUUCAUCAAAAACUUGUUUUAAGACUUCUAAAAUAUCAAAAUUAUGAAAAAAGGACUUGAUUGAGCUUACCAAUUAACUCCAAGCUUCAUAAACCUUAUUUCCCCUUUUCUUUCUUCUUUCCUUUCUUUCUCCCCUGUUCUUCUCUGUUUCGUUUGCUUUCAUUCUGUUUCUUUUAACUUAUUUGUUUCUUUUAUAUAUAAUAAUAAUAUAAUAUAAUAUAAUAUACUUAAUUAUUAAAUAAAUAUAUAUAUUUUUUUAAUCAAUAAAAUCUUUGAUAUUUUCCACGUUAAACCGCCUCAGCUAUAGGAAAUGGUUUAAUUUCCUCUUAAGUCCUUCUAAUUUUUCUUUAAUCUAUAAUUAAACUUUUACUCUUAUUCAAUUUAAUCCUUUUUACUAAUUACUCUAAAUUAAGCUAAAUUUACUUAAUUAAAACCUAAUUAAACACACUACUAGACUCAUAAAUAUUUUUAAUAAUUAUUUUCGAACUUAUUUCACUAAGACGGAGGCCCGAUAACACACUUUUCUGGUGCCCACGGAUUUUGGGUUGUUACAGUAACUGAGUUGAGGACCAGCCUGAGCAAGAUCGAGGAGAUGAAAAUUAAAAUAGAGGAACUCGAGACGACACUACAAGAUAGUAAAAGUAGAGUAGAGUUUCUCAAGGCAAACAAUGAACAUUACAAAACACAACUUUACCAAUCUCAAGAUCAGAUCAGAAAUAGAGAUUAUGUCAUGGGUGAAGCCGUGGCUCAAGUUAGAGAGGUAGCUGAUCAUCUGCAAACCUUGGCAGUUCAGGCUGAUGUAUUAAGCCUAAAAUACGAGUCAGAAUCGGAUCGAGGCUGAAACUUAGCUUGGCUUCUUAGGAAAAUUAAGGCUUUAGGCAUUAGGGCAAAGUCAUAUAUGUAAUCGUCUGUUCUAUGUAAAGAAAUUUUUCUUCUAGUAAAAGUUCUUCUAAUGAAAUUGAAUUAGAAUCAACGCCUAUUUUUGCAUUCAUGCAUUUGUAUUACAUUACAUCAUAUGCAUUAAAGGCCAUAAAAAGAUUCUAAUUAAUUAAAAAUGUUUCAGUAACCUGGAAACCAACGAAAAUCUCCCGAAUACACAUCCCUACGGUACAAGGAAGAAAACUGAAGCAAUGGAUAAAAAGCUCGAGAGACUGGAGUAAAUGCAGAAAGAGAUGUAGGAGCAGAUGCAAGCGCAAGUGCAAGAACAGUUAGCAAAAAUCCAGCAAAAAAUGAGGGACCAGAUGCUGGAAUCCCAAAGAAGUAUGAUGGAAGAGUUGACCCGAUUACUGACUUGUAGGCCGGACAAAGGAAAGGGUCCUAUGGCCGAUAUGGGAAAUAAUAAUGGAGAUUCCCUCUACCCCCCUGGUUUUACCCCAGCAAACGCUCAAGCGCAGCAUGAGACACACACGCAGAGGCCAUCCAUUACUGAGGAUCCCCUCUACCCCCCUGGUUUCACCCCGGUGAAUGCUUAAACGUAACCCGAGCGACACAUGCGAAGACCGUUCGUUACGAUUAGGCCUCAGUAAUUUCAGGCUGAUACCUCGAUGCCAAUCAAUUAUCAAACGGGAUCAGGCUCUAAUCUCGAGGAUAACCCUAUCAAUCCUACAAUCCCCGAUCUGGAUAAUAUGGCAGAAGAAGAAAGAGCGAGAACGGGGCUCUCGAAAGAAUUGGAAGACCGAUGCAAGUAGUUAGAGGAAAAAUUCAGAGUGAUGGAAAGUGCUAACUAUCAUUGUAUGAUCGACGCCAAAGAUUUGAGCUUGGUCCCAUACCUAGUCCUCCCUCCUAAGUUCAAAAUCCCAGACUUUGAAAAAUAUAAUAGAACUAGCUGUCCAGAGGCUCACAUCACCAUGUUUUGUCGAAGAAUGGCAAGGUAUGUUCACAAUGAGCAAUUAUUAAUCCAUUGCUUUCAAGACAGUGUGUUCGGGUCUACGGCCAAAUGGUACAACCAACUAAGUCGCGCGCAAAUCCAUUCAUGGAAAGACUUGGCAUAAGCCUUUAUGAAGCAAUACGGCUACGUGACAAACAUAGCACCCGAUCGAAUCACGUUACAAAACAUGGAAAAGAAACAAAGUGAGAGAUUUAGACAGUAUGCCCAAAGAUGGAGAGAGGUAGCAACGCAAGUCCAACCACCUCUACUAGAGAAGGAAACGACUAUGCUUUUUGUCAACACUCUGAAAGCUCCAUUUAUCAACCACAUGUUGGGAAGCGCUACUAAGAGCUUCUCGGACAUAGUAAUGUCAGAAGAGAUGGUAGAGAACGUGAUAAGAUGUGGGAAGAUCGAAACAGGGGAAAAGAAAUCAGCUCUGAGAAUGAAAGAAAAUGAAGUGAACAAUGUGAGCGUAUAGAAUAAGAGUUAUUCUAAGCCAGUCACUGUGAGCCAACCAAAGACGGUGACUACCAGCCAUCAGGGCUCUGCAAGACAAGAUUCAAACCCGAGGCCUAACACGGAAAGAGUCUAGUUCACGCCUAUCCCAAUGUCAUACAGGGAGUUGUAUCAGAAUUUACUCGAUGCCCAUGUGGUGUCACCUUACUACUUAAAACCCCUGCAGCCUCCAUUCCUUAAGUGGUAUGACGCAAACGCUUAAUGCGAAUAUCAUGGAGGAAUCUCGAGACAUACGAUUGAGAACUGCACUGCCUUCAAAAAGGUAGUCGAAAGGCUCAUAGGCAUGGGCGUUGUGAAGUUCAAUGAGCCCACAGGACCUAAUGUGGCAAAGAAUCCGUUACCUAGUCAUUCAGACAAAGGGGUAAACGCGAUAAUUGAAAAUAGAAGGAGGAGAACCAAGUUUGAUGUAUCAGAGGUAAAAACCCCGUUAAAAUGGGUUUGAAAAAGGAUGAUGGAAAGAGGUUUAAUCACAAGAUUCAAAGAAAAGACCUAGAGAAGCAAGAAAAUACUGCGAGUUUUAUGCCGAUGAAGGCCAUGACAUCCAAGAAUACAAUAAGUUCAGAUCCAUAGUACAAAAUCUAAUGGACAAUAAGGGAUGGAAUUUUACGAAAAAAGUGAGGGAUCAGAGGAAGGAACAAUGAAGCAGGAAUACAAAUGACGCCGAGAGUCAUAAUUCAGAAGCCGGUAUCCUUCCCUUCCAAGGAUAGUAAAAGGGUUCCCUGGAAUUACGACUGCAACAUGACAAUCUCGGGUAGGGAGAACCCGGCCAGUGCUUCAAGAGAGAACCAAGAUGUAGGUUUCUAUACACGUAGCGGGAGACGUUAUGACCCUACAAGUACAAAAACUGAAACUGUUAAAGGAAAGACCCUAAUAGCCGAGCAAAGAAAGGAAAAGACGGUCAAGUUCGAAACACCAAUCAAUGAGCCAGUAACCGAGAAGGAAGCUAGAGAAUUCCUAAAAUUCUUAAAGCAUAAUGAGUACAGUGUGGUUGAACAGUUACACAAGCAACCGGCUCGUAUCUCGGUGCUAGCUUUGCUUUUGAGUUCGGAGAUACAUCGAAGCGCGUUAAUGAAAGUACUGAACGAAACUUACGUUGUGGAUGAUAUAUCUGCCAACAAGCUAGACCGUCUCGUCAAUAAUAUAAGCGCCAAUAAUUUCAUAUUUUUCAAUGAUGAUGAAAUACCGCCGGGGGGAAUGGGGUCAACAAAAGCGCUACACGUUACCACCCGCUGUAAAGGGUAUACACUACCGGAAGUGUUAAUUGACAAUGGGUCUGCGCUAAAUAUUCUACCCCUAUCUACGUUGAAUAGGUUGCCAGUUGAUAGUUCCCAUAUGAAGUCAUGCCAAAACGUAGUGAGGGUAUUUGACGGUACUGAAAGGAAGGUAAUGAGGAGGAUCGAAAUACCUCUUUUAAUCGGUCCAAGCACAUACGAGAUAGAUUUCUUAGUGAUAGACAUCAAGUCCUCUUACAAUUGUCUAUUGGGAAGGCCAUGGAUUCACUCAGCAGGGGCAAUGCCGUCAUCGCUGCAUUAAAAGCUCAAAUUUAUAACGGAGGGCCGACUGGUGACCGUAAAUACAGAAGAAGAUACCAUUGCGUCCGUUACCAGCGAGACACCAUAUGUAGGGACAGAUGAUGAAGCAAUAGAAUGCUUUUUUCGAUCAUUAGAAUUUGUGAACGCAACCUUUAUUGUCGAAGGGAACAAAGUCUCGGUGCCCAAAAUCUCCAAAACUACCAAGAUGGGCUUGCAAUUGACAGUAGGGAAAGGAGCUGUGCCUGGAAAGGGGCUUAGAAGAAAUUUACAAGGAAGGAUCAAAGCACCCAUGCUCACGGACAAACGAAACCGUUUUGGCUUAGGGUACAAGCCAGAUGCAAGGCAGAGGAAAAAGGAAAUAGAGAAGAAACAAGAGAGAAGAAGAGCACGCUUAAAUGGAGAAGAGGUCAAGUGGGAGCCAAUGACCUUUCCCCACAUAUCCAGAACAUUCGUGUCGGGAGGAACCAUUUACUCUGAAGAAAAAUUGAUAAAAAAAAGGGCUGUUUUGAGCAUUAACGCCAUAUCCGAGGAAGAAACAAGAGAAGAGGAUCAAUUAGGCAUUUGCCCAUACGUGCCUGGGAGCGUUUUAAACAAUUGGACCGCGGAGGAGAUCCCUGUAACUUUUAAAAUUAACUCAGAGUAAUGUCUAAAACAAGCUUAUUGCUCUAAGCCUAGGGGCAAUAAGAAUCCUUUUGUGAAAUAGGUUUUUAUCCAGUAUCGUUAUUUCAAUAAAAAUGCAUCUUUGCGUAUCAUCUUGAACAAAUAUUCUUUUAUUCUUUCCAUUUCAUUCAUAACCAUACCACCAAUAAAUAUUCUUAGAUUCUUUUAUUCUUUGGACUAUUUCUUCAUUUCUAUAACAGGUCUUCAGAUAUCAAUGACAUGAGUAACGCUGCUACCAACUCAGAGUUUCCUUUUGAGCAAGAUGAGUGUAGGGAGGAUUCUCAGGAUUUUGAAGAUGACUGAAACUGUAACCUAUCUCCGGAUUUGUUAAGGAUGGUAAAACAAGAUGAGAAGCAAAUCUUUCCUCGCAAUGAGCCAGUGGAAAUCGUGAACUUAGGAGAAGGAAAAGAGGUGAAAAUUAGAGCCAGUAUCGCCGUGGAGACAAAACGAGAUCUCAUUGAGCUACUACAAGAAUCCAAAGAUGUCUUCGCAUGGUCAUAUCAAGACAUGCCUGGGUUAAAUACUGAUAUUGUGGUACACCGCAUCCCCAUAAAGGAAAAGUGCAAGCCAGUUCAACAGAAACUUCGAAGAAUGAGACCUAAUGUUUUGUUGAAGAUAAAAGAAGAGGUCAAGAAGUAAUUUGACGCCGGUUUCUUACAAGUGGUUCAGUACUCAGAAUGGGUAGUUAAUAUAAUUUCUGUCCCUAAGAAAAAUGGGAAGGUACGAAUGUGUGUGGACUAUCGAGACCUAAACAAAGCCAGCCCAAAAAAUAAUUUCCCGUUGCCUCACAUUGAUACGUUAGUGGAUAACACGGCAGGAUACUCACUCUUCUCCUUCAUGGACGGUUUCUCGGGAUACAACCAGAUAAAGAUGCAUUUCGAAGACAUGAAAAAGACCACAUUCGUGACCAUGUGGGGGACAUUCUGUUAUAAGGUGAUGCCAUUUGGACUAAAGAAUGCAGGAGCAACAUAUCAGAGAGGUAGGGUAACUCUAUUCCACGACAUGAUGCAUAAGGAGAUCAAAGUUUACGUCGAUGACAUGAUUGCAAAAUCCAAGACAGAAAAUGAGCACGUACAAGUCUUGAGGAAACUAUUUUUAAGAUUAAGAAAGUUCCAGCUAAAACUCAAUCCCGCGAAAUGUACUUUUGGCGCCAUGUCAGGAAAGUUAUUGGGAUUCGUGGUCAGUAAAAAGGGGAUCAAAAUCGACCCAGACAAAGUCAAAGUCAUACAAGAAUUACCUCCGCCACGCACUCAAAAAGAAGUUUGAGGUUUCCUAGGAAGGCUAAAUUACAUCGCUCGGUUCAUUUCACAACUAACAGAGAAGUGUGACCCGAUAUUCUGCCUCCUUAGGAAACACAACCCAGGUGUAUAGGACGAGGAGUGUCAAAGAACUUUCGAUAAAGUCAAGCAUUAUCCCUUUACGAGUAAUUGGAUGUUGAUUGCACAAAUAACAUGACAGAGUAUGAAGCAUGCAUCAUGGGUAUCCGUGCAGCUAUUGAACGCAAAAUCAAGGUGCUAGAAGUAUAUGGGGAUUCUGUAUUAGUGAUCUAUCAGCUCAAAGGUGAAUGGGAGACAAAAGACUCUAAAUUGAUCAAUUACUAAAAGCUGAUUCUAGAGUUAUUUGAGGAGUUUGACGAUAUCACUUUUUGCUAUCUCCCACGAGAUGAAAACCAGAUGGCCGACACCCUGGCAACUUUAGCUUCUAUGAUCAAAGUGAACAAGCAAGAGGAUGUGAAGCCUAUCCAGAUGAGUAUCUAUGAGGCUCCGGCUCCUUGCUACAACGUUGAUGAACAGGAGGAAAAAGACGAUCACCCUUGGUAUCAGAAUAUAUUGCAAUAUGUGAGAAAUCGUGAAUACCCAAACCAAGCAACAGAAAAUGAUAAAAGGACAUUGAGAAGGCUAGCCAGUGACUAUGUCUUGGACGGGGAGAUCCUAUAUAAAAGAAGAAAGGAUCAGGUGCUCUUAAGAUGCGUGGAUGCUAUCGAGGCUAAGCAGAUCUUGGAAGAGGUCCAUGAGGGUGUCUGCGGAACACACGCCAAUGAUUUCACAAUGGCCAGACAAAUCAUAAAACCCGGAUAUUAUUGGUCCACCAUGGAAGGGGAUUGCAUCAACUAUGCAAAAAAGUGCCAUAAGUGCCAAAUCUACGGAGAUAAGAUUCAUAUACCUCCUUCACCUCUUCAUGUCAUGACUUCUCCAUGGCCUUUCUCCAUGUGGGGCAUGGAUGUCAUUGGGCCAAUCUCAACGAAAGCGUCUAAUGGGCACCGAUUCAUCUUUGUGGUUAUCGAUUACUUCACCAAGUGAAUAGAAGCCACUUCUUAUGCCAACGUCACGAAAUUAGCAGUCAGCAAGUUCUUAAAGAAAGAGAUCAUAUGUCGAUAUGGAAUGCCUGAGAGGAUCAUAUCAAACAAUGCACUGAACUUGAAUAACAGUACGAUAGCGAAAGUUUGUAGCCAAUUCAAGAUCAAACACCAUAACUCAUUGCCGUAUAGCCCAAAAAUGAAUGGCGUUGUGGAAGCUGCCAAUAAGAACAUCAAGAAGAUCGUGGGAAAAAUGACUGAGACGUAUAAAAACUAGCAUGAGAAGUUACCAUUCGCCCUUUACGCCUACCGAACAUCAGUCAGAACUUCUACCGGGGCAACACCUUUCUCUUUGGUUUAUGGAAUGGAGACAGUUUUGCCUAUUGAGGUUGAAAUUCCUUCUCUACGAGUGAUAUCAGAAUUAAAGUUAGAUGAGGCAGAAUGAAUCCAGUCUCGAUAUGAUCAGCUGAACUUAAUUGAAGAAAAGAGACUGAAAGCUAUUCGCCAUGGUCAAAUGUACCAAAAGCGAAUGAUGCGGGCUUAUAACAAGAAGGUUUGUCCUAGAGAGUUUUAUGAAGGAGAUCUUGUUUUGAAAAAGAUUCUCCUCAUACAAAAGGACUUCAGAGGAAAAUGGAUGCCAAAUUGGGAAGGACCUUAUGUGGUGAAGAAAGCUUUCUCUGGAGGGGCUCUGAUUUUGACCGAGAUGGAUGGAAAAAGUUUGUCCAACCCUGUGAAUUCAGAUUCGGUCAAGAGGUACUUUACCUAAAAAAAAGGAGAGGCCAAAGCGAAAACCCGCAAAAGGGCGCUUUGAGACCAAAGGGGUUUUGAGUCGAAAAUCCAAGAAUGGGUGAUUCAAAUGCUAAUCAAAAUUGGGGCAUGUGUUGGUCUCGUCUUCUUAGAAUUAACAAAGAAUGAGGGAUGCUACAUCUUGGGGCAUCAACAAAAGACUCUUGGUCUUCUAAACGCGUAUCAAGCUCAAAGGGUCCUCAAGAAGCUCUGUGCAGAGAAGCUCAUGCUACGAUACCUGGGGCACCUAUUGUCAUCUUAUUCAUUUUGUAUCUUAACAAAAUUUGCUAUUUUGAUUACUAGAUUCAUUUUGAGUAUUGCUCUCAAUAAAAUUCCACCUUGUCCAUUGCGAUAAUCUUUUUCAAGCAUUUUUUCAUUGAAAUAACGAUUGAUGGACUAAUAACAUUCAAAAAAGAGUUCUGCAUAUUACUCUAAGAUGAUUUUGAAUGAUACAAAGACCUGAAACGGGACUAAUUAGUUUGAAUUACCCAAAUUCAAAGAGACAUUGAAAAAGAAUAGCCCAAAUUAUGGUUAUUCUUCAAGAGAUACCGAACUGAAGAGAAUGACUGAAUAAUGCAUCGUUGAUAAAAUCAAAAUAAUAACAGUAAAUAACAUCAAAUUGAGCAUUAAAAGAAAGGAAAAUAUUUUGCAUUCACGCUAACAUCAUCCAUGCACAUCUAGUUAGGAGCAUUUGAUUCAUUCAUGACAUCCUAAUCAUUUAGCAUAUGCACGAACUCAAGAAAUCGAUUCUACAGGUCAUGUCCCUCAGAGGAUGAUGUGGCAAGAUCGAUUCGUAACUACGAAUUUUGGCAAAUCUUAUCUUCCUGAAGUAGCAGUGAAGCGGAUCAAAGCCACUAACCUUAUCUCCUUGAAGUUGCAGUGGAAUAGACUGAAGAUGGCGAAUCUUGUCUUCCUGAAGUUGCAGUGAAGUAGAUCGAAGCCACUAACCUUAUCUCCUCGAAGAUACGAUGGAGUAGGUUGAAGUUACAAAUCUUAUCUCCCUAAAGUUGUAGCGGGGCAGACUGAAGGUAGCAAAUCUUGUUUCCCUAAAGAUGCAGCGGAACAGAUUGAGGCCAUAAAUUACAAAUAUUAUCUCUCUGAAGUUGCAGUAUAGCAGAUCAAAACAAGUCUUAUCUCUCUGAAGUUGCAGUAGAGCAGAUCAAAAUAAGUCUUAUCUCUCUGAAGUUGCAGUAGAGCAAAUCAAAAUAAGUCUUAUCUCCCUGAAGUUGCAGUAGAACAGACUGGAGAUGGCGAAUCUUAUCUUCCUGAAGUUGCAGUGGAGCAAACCGAAGCUAUUAACCUUAUUUCCCUGAAGUUGCAGUGGAACAGGUCGAAACUAUAAAUUACAGGUCCUCUCUGUAGUUCAGUAGAGCAGAUCAAGGAAAGUCUCAUCUCCCUGAAGUUGCAGUGGAGCGGACUAGAGUGGAACAUAUUGAAGCUACCUUGAGAAAAGAAGCUCCAAAAGAAGUCAAGACUCAACAAGUCUAAGCAAAAUUGGCCCUUUUUAUGGUCUUUGCUCUAUUCCCGUUACACAACAAUGAGCAAAGAGGGGCAGCUGUAAUAGGCCAAUUUUGGGCCUGACCCAACCUAUAAAAAUAUGAACCAAAUAAACAAAAGCCCAAGACUCAUUAACUGUCCAUUUACACAGCUAAAUCAAAAAAUAUAAACUACAAGCCCAAUAUUUGGAUGGCCCAAUAAGCCCAAACCUAAGGGUCCAAAAGGCCCAAGAACUAAACCAACUCAAAAACCCUAGUGUUUCUGAGCCUUCUUUGCACCGCGCCGCUUCCCCCACGUGCCUCAAGCGCACCACCCGCGCCUGGUCCCGAGACCUGACCAGCCUAGGAGCUUCUGCCACCGUUUUGCACCAAAAUGGCCGAUUUUUGCCUUCGUUGACCUCCCACAUCUGCAAACAAACCAAAGAAAACAAUAGAAACGACGACAACAGAGAAAGGGAAGCGUUUUCUUUACUAUUGUAAUCGGUUAUAAAACUGAAACAAAAAUCAGUUUGUAAGGGAGAUACAGACGAUUAAGCAAAUCAAAAAAACAAAAGGUUGAGUUUCAUUCUCUUUUUUUCUUUAUUUUUUUAUUUUCUUUUCUUCUAAAAUCAAUUUUAAAACAAAAAAUAAAAAGGAAUAAAAGAGAGGACUUACCCGAACCUCGGAACCGCGACAUCGGAGCCCUACUCCGUUGUUGAAAUCAGCUUUCAAGAGGGAAAACGGAGGUUCUUUUCUUUUAUGUUUUUGGACCAAGAAAACACGGCCUUCGGGAGUUGUAAAUCGAAGCCAAAAGCCCCAUUUCGCACCACCUCAACCACCGUUCACGAUGGCGCGACGUGGCGGCGAUGAUGGGUUUCUUUGAAACCCUAGCAGAGCACAAACAGAGGGGAAGGAGAGAGCAGGCUCUGUGAUUUGUUUUUUUUUUU
rnacentral:lncRNA from 1 species